GCGCGGGCGGGAGGGGCGGCGGGUGGCUGCCGGCUGGCUCUGCACACGCAGCCCCGGGCACUGCCGCGGAGGGCCGAUGCCACGGGAGCACGGGGUCGGGCCACCGCGUUCCCGCUGCAUACCCAGCCGGGCGCCGCGCUGCGGUCCGAGCCAGCGGGGAGAGGGCGGCGGCCGCGCCGUGGAACCCCUGCUUGCUCUGGUAACUUAGAAGAUGAUAAUUAAUGUGGUUGCUGAUAAUUCUGAAUAAAUACAGCUUUUAUCCCAGGUGUGCCAUUUUGAAGACUGAGACCAUAGAGUUCUAAGAAUAAAGGAAAGAGCCCUUGGGAAAUUAUUAUAUAUAGCAAAAAUGUGAAUCCUCAGAUGGAAUGAAAGGCCUGCACCAUAGACAUCGAAGCAUUUACACCCCGCUUGAAGAGUUUGAAAUGGACUUUACCACUGAGAAAUCAAGAUGGCAGCCCAUUAUGGGGAAUUGAGGAAAAUGGAUUAAUGCAAGAAUGCUGUAAUAUUAUACAACCAACACAGGAUUCUUUUAAUGUGGAUUCCAUGAAAUGAAUGAUUCUUACCCAACACAAAUGGACAGUGGAAUUUACUUCCUAAAGACUUGUUACAUGUCAUGUACAUUUUUGACAUCUGGAGAAGACUCUACAAUUCUACAAAUGGUAGUUUGUAUUCCUGGAAUUUCUUGCAGUUUGAUCUGAAGUGACCUUAUGGAAUGUUAACUUUAAUAAAAUCUCUAAAACUUAAAAAUUUCUCAGUUUGGGCCUUUUAUAAAUUUUUUCAGUGGACGUUUUCAUUAAAUGUUCAUUUUACCUUGAUAACAUUUUGACCUUUAUAGCUGCUGCUUUUCAUUAAAGUAUACUAAAUAAAGCUGGUAAAAUGGAA
rnacentral:lncRNA from 1 species